UACGUAGGGUGCAAGCGUUGUCCGGAAUUAUUGGGCGUAAAGAGCUCGUAGGCGGUUUGUCGCGUCGGCUGUGAAAACUCGGGGCUCAACCCCGAGCCUGCAGUCGAUACGGGCAGACUAGAGUGCUGUAGGGGAGACUGGAAUUCCUGGUGUAGCGGUGAAAUGCGCAGAUAUCAGGAGGAACACCGGUGGCGAAGGCGGUUCUCUGGGCCUUACCUGACGCUGAGGAGCGAAAGCGUGGGGAGCAAACAGG
rnacentral:rRNA from 1 species